UUUUUUGCCAUUUUUUAUCUAUUUUUUAUUGGGAAUUUUGACUUUUUCAGGUAGAGGAAUGUCUGCGACUAAGCCGAGGGCCACUGGAUAAGGGUUGUUGAUGGCAAAACAGGUUAAAGACUACAUGAGACUUUGACAGAUGGCGGGAAACCCUCAUCCACUGGUAGAGGAAUGUCUGCGACUAAGCCGAGGGCCACUGGAUAAGGGUUGUUGAUGGCAAAACAGGUUAAAGACUACAUGAGACUUUGACAGAUGGCGGGAAACCCUCAUCCACUGGUACGAACCCGGUAGAGGAAUGUCUGCGACUAAGCCGAGGGCCACUGGAUAAGGGUUGUUGAUGGCAAAACAGGUAGAGGAAUGUCUGCGACUAAGCCGAGGGCCACUGGAUAAGGGUUGUUGAUGGCAAAACAGGUAGAGGAAUGUCUGCGACUAAGCCGAGGGCCACUGGAUAAGGGUUGUUGAUGGCAAAACAGGUUAAAGACUACAUGAGACUUUGACAGAUGGCGGGAAACCCUCAUCCACUGGUACGAACCCGGUAAAUUGAUGGCUGUAAAACAGUGACCGCUGAUUCGCAUCGAGUUCUUUCUUGCAAAACGCAUGACCCCCCUUUUUUAUUGUCUAAAUCAUUGCGGCUUGGAAUGCUCUUUAAGAAAAGGUAUGGUUAUGGGGGUCUCUAUGCGCAAAAGUUUGACUUUAUUUUUUGUUGAAGUUAUUGCUUUUACAUUGAAUUUGUGUAGGAAAUCUUUUGGUAUAUUGUAACCACAA